UUAUCUAGGACCCCAAUAAGUAAUUUUUGUUUUUAACCAAAAUAUAUCAUAUAAUACGUGAUUGGAAUGGAAUUCGAAAGUUUUCCCGCACUCAAAUUCCCAAUCCCGUGCUCUCUGUCUUUGCCUUCUACCGUGAAACCCUAACCCAUCUUCGAUCACUUCUCUUUUUCCCUAACCUCAUCUUUACCUUUCCUCUUAUGUGCUCCAACCUAGCGACUCCAAACAGAACCAGUGUUGCAUCGUUGAGCUCCGGACACUCCGUUUCAGAGAAUCGAUAGCAAGCAACCACUAGAAUCGACUGGUUUUGCGCCUGUGAUUCCUCCGUCCUAUCCUCACUAGGACUGCUGAUUUGAGGAUGAUCCACAUUGCCGAUUCAAAUUCUAUUUUCAAAAACCGACAUUGCACUCUUUUCUCUAAGGUAAAUUUACUUUUCUUGUAAGAAGAGUAAACUAGUCAAUCAUAGUCUUCCUCAUAAUCGUGAAGCCUGCAGAAAAAUAAGAAAGUGAAAUAGUGCGGAAUUGAAAUAUCUUUAGGGAUAUCACGCCCUGCUAAUGUGCCUUUCCGUAUGGAGCGAUUUUGGUCGAAACAUCAGGAUUUUGAGCAGGUGGGUCGUUCUUCCCGGGAGGUUCCAUGUAUUGAGACUCCGAUGUUUAGGGUGGUGGCAAAACUAAAAAGGCUCAAGGUGUGUUUGAAGGUUUGGGCUAAAGAUGCUUUUCCUAAUGCUGACGAGGAGGUGUCUAAAACUAAAUUGGAGUUGGAAGGGGUUCGUUCCAAGAUCGAGUUCAAUAGUACGGAUGGGGGUCUAUUGGAUUCGGAAUUUGCAGCGAAAAAGGCUUAUGAAAAGGCUAUCUUGCUUCAAGAGAAGGUUUGGUCUGAAAAGUCUCGCUUGAAAUGGCUUCGUCAUGGGGGUUGCGAUUACAAUUUUUUUCACAGGUCAACGAAGCUUUGUCGGGCAAGGAAUCAGAUCAAAGAGAUCCAGGAUGGUAAUGGAGGGGUUAUUUCUACUCCCGUGGGCAUUGGCAAGUUUUUGUCUGAUCAUUUGAGAAUUUUCAUAAAAGAGGCACCGCAGUUGCUAUGGAUAUUCUGAGUUGUAUCCCUAAAGUUGUGAAUGCUGAGGGCAAUGGUGCUCUUUUGGCUUCUCCGUCUGUAGAGGAGAUCAAGGCGGCGGUUUUUGACUUUGAUCCCAACAGUGCUCCAGGGCCUAACGGUUUUCCUGAGACUUUCUAUCGGUCUUGCUGGAACAUUGUAGGCCCAGAGGUAUGUUCUGCUGUUAACAAUUUUUUUGCUGAAAGGGUCAUCCCAAAAGGAGUAAACUCUAAUUUUUUGGCUCUAAUUUCUAAAAUUGUUGGCGCCUGUAAGGUUAGUCAGUUUCGCCCCAUCUGUCUUGGGAAUUUUUUCCCCAAAAUAAUUCCCAAAAUUAUUGCUAUGUGAUUAUCUAAACUUCUCCCGAGAUUGAUCUCAGAGGAACAUGGUGUUUUUCAGAGGGGAAAGAUUUCUUCCAAUAUUUGUUUGGCUUCUGAAUUGAAAAAUUUGAUGCAUCCUAAAUCUUUUGGGGGCGGUCUUACUUUGAAGUUAAAUUUUAAGGUGUAUGGCACAUUGGAUUGGAUUUUCUGUUUGAUGUUAUGCGCAAGUUUGGUUUUCUCAGACUUUUAUUGAUCGUCUGCACCAAAUUCUAAUCUCUACUAGAUUGUCUGUUUUGAUCAAUGGCAAUCUUGUGGGUUUCUUUGGGGUGGAAAGGGGGUUGCGACAAGGUGAUCCUCUUUCCCCCAUCCUCUUUAUUAUCGUUGAGGAAGUCUUAUGCCGUGGACUCAGGCUGCUUAUAUUUGAGAAGAAGAUCAGGACGUUGACAGAUCCAAGGAAUACACUGACUCCAUCUCAUCUGUUAUAUGUGGAUGAUAUUUUCAUAUUCACUUCUGCAGAGAUUAGAGGAGUCAAACACCUCAAAAGGUUUCUGGAUCAUUAUCAAUUAUAUUUGGGUCAGAUUAUUAGUAUAGAGAAGAGCAAGGUGUUCUUUGGAAAAAUUCCAGCUCAAAGGAAAAGAAGAAUCAAAGAGGUGAUUGCCAUUCCUGAGUGUAAAUUUCCCACUUGUUAUUUGGGUGUGGAAAUUUUCAAAGGCAGAGUUAAAAGAGAUUGUAUUAUGCCUUUGGUUGAUAAAUUCAAGGUGAGAUUGGCAGGAUGGAAAGGUAGGAUGCUCUCUUUGGCUGGUAGAAUUGAGCUCAUUAAAUUUGUGAUGUGCAGUGUUCCAAUCCAUAACUUUGCAAUUUAUCGCUGGCCAACCUCUACCAUUUUACAUAUGGAGAGAUGAAUGAAGAACUUUAUCUGGAGUGGUGAUUUGGAAUCUUUCAAAGCUAUUACAAUGAAAUGGUCAAGUGUUUGUAAGCCGAAGGUGGAGGGUGGUUUGGGCAUAAGACGAUUGAAAGAUAUAAAUAAUGCUAUGCUAGUGAAACUGGCUUGGUACAUUAAAAGUGAUCCCUCCAAUACAACCUCUUUCUUAAGAGGUCGUUUUCUAACUCAGGAUGGAGUCCCAAAAUAUUCCUAUGUGUGCUCGUCCAUUUGGCCUGGAAUUAAAAGUGUGUGGAGUUUUCUUUACUCCAAGGAGCAAUGGGUGGUAGGGACCGGUACCUCAAUUAACUCUUGGUCGGAUAGGUGCUUCACUGAGAAGCCGAUUUUUGAGAUGGUUCCAUUUUCGUCUGAUAUUCCUUUGAGGGCCAAAGUAUCGGACAUCAGUCAGAAUGGGAGAUGGGAUAUUCGGAUGGUUCAUGACCCAUUGUUGCUAAAUAUCUGUAAUCGAGCCAAGGAUUACCCUCUUCUUGCAGUGGCUUAUCAGGAUCGUAGAGUAUGGACUCUUAUUCAAUCAGGCUCUUUCUCUAUGAGAUCGGCUUGGGGAAGUGAUAAGGGUAUUUUUCCCCUACCAUGACACGGGCAAGGAGUGUCCUGGCCAAUGCUAGUGGUACCUUAUCUGGCCGUGCUGCCACCUCGGCCCUCCAUCUGGCCGUGCAGCUACCUCGUCCCUACAUCAGUCCGAGCUGCCACCUUAGCCCUCAUUGGGUCGUGCUGCUACCUCGGCCCUCCAUCAGACCGUGCUUUUUCCUCGGCCCCCUAUCAGGUCGUGCUUCCACCUCGGCCCCUCAUCUGGCCGUGCUGCCACCUCGGCCUGGCAUCAACAACAAAUUUCCCAGAAACGUGCUCUCAUCCACUCUUAUAUUCAAGGAACGUGAUUCUUGUUCACAAGGACAGGACUAUCCACUACACGUCACCAGAGACAUCUAUCCCUCACACGGUUGGCAUCUCCAAGAUAAGAGGGGGAUAUUCCCCUGGAAUACCUUAGGACCUAGAAUAUUCCCAGAAUCACAGAGCCACUCCCCACAAGGACUCUACGCCUAAAUAGGACUCUACACAAACGUCUCCCAUUCUCCCUCCAUCAACAACCUAUAAAUAUCACGGUAAGCCUCUAUCAUGGGGAUCGAUCACUUCUUUUACUGAAAAAACUCUCUUGAACAUUUGCUGUAGAAAGAUUUGACUUGGGCAUCAGAGAGUCCCCUGUCGGGUCAGCCCGGCUCUCCCCUGUCCUCUCUUCUAUGCAGGUCGGUUGGAGCACCAGGAACCGCAGGGAAGAUCAUCCAGUCAAUUUUUGCCGCAUCAGGAAGGGUUAAGGUCUAAAUCCCCUCAUGUUCCCUGGUGUAGUGUUGUUUGGGAUAAGCACUACACCCCUCAUGUUUCCACUUUUAUUUGGUAUUUGAUGCAUAGGCGUCUUCCCACUGAUGAGUAGGUGAUGGCUAGGUCGGUGAUGAUGGUCUCUCAUUGCACUCUUUGUCAUGCAGGCUCUGAAUCUUUGCAUCACAUUUUUUUGAGCUGUCAAUUCUCAACUUUAAUUUGGUCAGAAUUUUUGGAUAUUUUUAGGUUACGUUGGCAAGGUUUCCCUUCUAUUCAAGAGCUCUUUUCAUGGUGGAAGAGGAAGCCUCUAGUAUCUCCUUUGAAGCAAAUCUGGAAGGUUGCUUUUUUGAGUACUCUUUAUUAGGUUUGGCUGGAAAGGAAUCGAAGACUCUAUGAGAGCAUUUGCAAGACUCCCUCCUUAGUGGUUAAAGAUGUUCUCAUGGAUUUACAAGGUUUAUCCAAUAUCUAUCCGGUAGCAAUCAAAUCAAUGAGGGAUCUUAUGCUAUCUGUUUCACUUCAUCUGACAAGAACAAUAUCUCAUGCUAAGGACAUCAUGGAGAUCUUCUGGAAUCGGCCUCCAUUAGGAUGUAUCGAGAUUAAUGUUGAUGGAUGUUCAUUAGGGAAUCCAGGUAUGUCAGGUGUUGGGGAUACUUUCCGAAAUCAUGAAUGGAAACCUUUGAUUUGUUUCUCCACUUUCCAAGGUUUAUCUUCUGAUUUAUAUGCUGAAUUUGCGGCUUUCUUGAAGCUAUAAAAUUAGCUAAAGACCUAAAUUUACUUUGGAUUGAAGUGAAAUGUGAUUCUAGAGUUGUAGUCUGAUGUAUUGACAAGAAAUCCAUUUUGUGGUAUUUCACUCAAAAA